CCCCUUGAGAGUGGCGAACGGGUGAGUAAUAUAUCGGAACGUGCCCAGUCGUGGGGGAUAACGUAGUGAAAAUUACGCUAAUACCGCAUACGAUCUAAGGAUGAAAGCGGGGGAUCGCAAGACCUCGCGCGACUGGAGCGGCCGAUAUCAGAUUAGGUAGUUGGUAGGGUAAAGGCCUACCAAGCCAACGAUCUGUAGCUGGUCUGAGAGGACGACCAGCCACACUGGAACUGAGACACGGUCCAGACUCCUACGGGAGGCAGCAGUGGGGAAUUUUGGACAAUGGGCGAAAGCCUGAUCCAGCCAUUCCGCGUGCAGGAUGAAGGCCCUCGGGUUGUAAACUGCUUUUGUACAGAACGAAAAGGUCUCUAUUAAUACUAGGGGCUCAUGACGGUACUGUAAGAAUAAGCACCGGCUAACUACGUGCCAGCAGCCGCGGUAAUACGUAGGGUGCAAGCGUCAAUCGGAAUUACUGGGCGUAAAGCGUGCGCAGGCGGUUAUAUAAGU
rnacentral:rRNA from 1 species